rnacentral:rRNA from 1 species
GGGCCCGCACAAGCGGUGGAGCAUGUGGUUUAAUUCGAUGAUACGCGAGGAACCUUACCAGGGCUUAAAUGUAGUGGGACAGGUCUAGAGAUAGACCCUUCUUCGGACUCAUUACAAGGUGCUGCAUGGUUGUCGUCAGCUCGUGUCGUGAGAUGUUCGGUUAAGUCCGGCAACGAGCGCAACCCACGUCCUUAGUUACCAGCAUUUAGUUGGGUACCCUAAGGAGACUGCCGGUGAUAAGCCGGAGGAAGGUGUGGACGACGUCAAGUCAUCAUGGCCCUUACGGGUUGGGCUACACACGUGCUACAAUGGCAUCUACAGUGAGUUAA